AACUUCUUGUUGCUUUGAGCCAAUUGAUAAUGCACCAGCCAUUCUGCCAUCUUUGUUUCAGUCAGAACUGGCAAACAUAAGCUGAGAGAGACCGUAGUGAAGAAUGUCCAGACAGAUUGCAAAUGUGCUUUGAUGAUUCUUCCCGAACCAGCAACGAACUGCAUAUCACAGUUUAUGAAACACUGGCGUAAUAAAUUGUGAUUUUGUAUCGGCAGUGAAUUAACAGAAAGCUCCUAAUGGCGCCUAAAGCCCCGGAAAUCCAAUAUGGUUACAAGCAAAUGCAGUGAACACUCCAUCUUGGUACAAGUAUGUGAACA